rnacentral:rRNA from 1 species
GACAGAGGGUGCAACCGUUGUUCGGAAUUACUGGGCGUAAAGCGCGUGUAGGCGGCUCGGAAAGUCGGGUGUGAAAGCCCUGGGCUUAACCCAGGAAGUGCACUCGAAACUUCCGAGCUGGAGUCCUGGAGAGGAAGGCGGAAUUCUCGGUGUAGAGGUGAAAUUCGUAGAUAUCGAGAGGAACACCGGUGGCGAAGGCGGCCUUAUGGACAGUGACUGACGCUGAGACGCGAAAGCGUGGGGAGCAAACAGG